rnacentral:rRNA from 1 species
AGUGAACGCUGGCGGUAGGCCUAACACAUGCAAGUCGAACGGCAGCACAGUAAGAGCUUGCUCUUACGGGUGGCGAGUGGCGGACGGGUGAGGAAUACAUCGGAAUCUACUUUUUCGUGGGGGAUAACGUAGGGAAACUUACGCUAAUACCGCAUACGACCUACGGGUGAAAGCAGGGGAUCUUCGGACCUUGCGCGAUUGAAUGAGCCGAUGUCGGAUUAGCUAGUUGGCGGGGUAAAGGCCCACCAAGGCGACGAUCCGUAGCUGGUCUGGGAGGAUGAUCAGCCACACUGGAACUGAGACACGGUCCAGACUCCUACGGGAGGCAGCAGUGGGGAAUAUUGGACAAUGGGCACAAGCCUGAUCCAGCCAUACCGCGUGGGUGAAGAAGGCCUUCGGGUUGUAAAGCCCUUUUGUUGGGAAAGAAAAGCAGCAGGUUAAUACCCCGCUGUUCUGACGGUACCCAAAGAAUAAGCACCGGCUAACUUCGUG